rnacentral:rRNA from 1 species
GGGUCAUUAGGUUGGUCGUGCCACCGGUACGUACUGGUCUCAUUGAUUCCUCCUUCCUGAAGAACCGUAAUGCCAUUAAUUUGGUGUUGCGGGGAAACAGGACUGUUACUUUGGAAAAAUUAGAGUGUUUAAAGCAAGCUAACGCUUGAAUACAUUAGCAUGGAAUAAUGAAAUAGGACGAUCGAUCCUAUUUUGUUGGUUUCUAGGAUUGACGUA